rnacentral:rRNA from 1 species
GUUGACCUCGAAUCAGGUAGGACUACCCGCUGAACUUAAGCAUAUCAAU